CUUCCGCGUGCCUAUACUGCAGUCGAGCGAACUUGCGGGAGCUUGCUCCCAAAAGUUAGCGGCGGACGGGUGAGUAACACGUGGGCAACCUGCCUGUAAGACUGGGAUAACUUCGGGAAACCGGAGCUAAUACCGGAUAACCCUUUUCCUCACAUGUGGAAAAGUUGAAAGAUGGCUUCGGCUAUCACUUACAGAUGGGCCCGCGGCGCAUUAGCUAGUUGGUGAGGUAACGGCUCACCAAGGCGACGAUGCGUAGCCGACCUGAGAGGGUGAUCGGCCACACUGGGACUGAGACACGGCCCAGACUCCUACGGGAGGCAGCAGUAGGGAAUCUUCCGCAAUGGACGAAAGUCUGACGGAGCAACGCCGCGUGAGUGAUGAAGGUUUUCGGAUCGUAAAACUCUGUUGUUAGGGAAGAACAAGUACCGUUCGAAUAGGGCGGUACCUUGACGGUACCUAACCAGAAAGCCACGGCUAACUACGUGCCAGCAGCCGCGGUAAUACGUAGGUGGCAAGCGUUGUCCGGAAUUAUUGGGCGUAAAGCGCGCGCAGGCGGUCUUUUAAGUCUGAUGUGAAAGCCCCCGGCUCAACCGGGGAGGGUCAUUGGAAACUGGGAGACUUGAGUGCAGAAGAGGAGAGUGGAAUUCCACGUGUAGCGGUGAAAUGCGUAGAGAUGUGGAGGAACACCAGUGGCGAAGGCGACUCUCUGGUCUGUAACUGACGCUGAGGCGCGAAAGCGUGGGGAGCGAACAGGAUUAGAUACCCUGAUAGUCCACGCCGUAUACGAUGAGUGCUAAGUGUUAGAGGGUUUCCGCUCUUUAGUGCUGCAGCAAACGCAUUAAGCACUCCGCCUGGGGAGUACGGCCGCAAGGCUGAAACUCAAAGGAAUUGACGCGGGCCCGCACAAGCGGUGGAGCAUGUGCUUUAAUUCGAAGCA
rnacentral:rRNA from 1 species